rnacentral:tRNA from 9 species
GGGUGAUUAGCUCAGCUGGGAGAGCACCUCCCUUACAAGGAGGGGGUCACUGGUUCGAGCCCAGUAUCACCCACCA